UAAUAACCCAGAUUUCCGCCUUGGAUAAGAAACAAAACUGAUUUAAUUACUUAUCCUUCGUCCUUAGCGAACAAACCAUUUUCAUUCUCAGAAAUUCCCUUCGUCCUUAGCAAACCCUAGUCUGAAAUUGCCACACCUCCGACCACCACCGCAUCCUUCUCCAUUGUGACCGUCGCCGCACCUCCGACCACCACCGCACCUCCGACGACGCGAUUUCAACCACCAGCUUUUGACGACGACUCUUGAGCAGCAUUCACGCCGGAGCUUCUCUCAUUCUGCUGCCUCGGACGACGCGAGUUCCCUGCUGUCACUACUGGAAUCCGACGGUGCCACCGCCCUCUGUGUCCCCACGACCUGUACUCAGAUUUCGGUGAGGCAGCAAAAGCUCGUCGCCGUCGCUCCCUUGGCUUGACUAAACAGGUCAUUCAUCAACCCUUAUUUGGAUUCAUUACACCCCCAUAAUCGUAACAAUCUGCACAAUUGAAGCUAUACAUGCUAACGUAGGGUCCUGUGCAACCUGAUUCAAAGCAAUGCGGGUUUUAUGUGAUGAGGUUUAUGAAGGAGAUAGUAAAGGCGAAAGUGAUGACUCCAUUUCUUUGACUAAACCGUUUCAUAAAUCUGUGUAUUCUCAAUGUGAGAUUGACGAGGUUCGUGAGGAUUGGGCUUCUUGUGUGAUCCAUGAGAUUGACAAGUGAAAGGACAAUAUUGGUUUAUGAAGACCUUCGUUAGUUUUGGAUAUGAUGUUCCAACGGCUACUAUUUCGAGCUUUUUUUGUUUGUAUUAGUUUAGAGUGGAUUCAAACAUUAACCCAAGCUUUUAGGAUAUUGUGCUAUAAUAUGGAUGUAAGAUUGUUAAUGUUGGAUAAUUAAUGUAUGGAUAUGUUAUUGAGGAUUUGAA